rnacentral:lncRNA from 15 species
UGUGUAUAUGAAAUAGACUUUGUUCUGUGUCAAUUCUGCAUCUGGACUUGAAAAAAGAGCAAUUUCUGCAAAGAUCGGGUGCAAUUUACAAAUGAAUUUCCUUCACGCUCGACUGCUUCAUAAAAGAAUUUGUCCUGACUCAGAUUGAACACAGUUGAAUGAUCCUAUCCAUAUUUCCGUCUUCUUUACAAGACAAUGUUUUCCAUUUUCUCAAACACAGAAGUCUAAGAUUUCCAUGUUCUCAGGUGCAACAAGUGUUACUGAUUGGGCCUUUUUUUUCUGCCCCCAACCUCUUGUUAGGUUACAGACUGGAACAAAAUGACACUGGAAAGAACUCGUGUUUCUUCAAGGAUAAAGGGGAUCCUUUUGAGUGGGCCCUUAGGAGUGUCGCUUCCAGCCACACAGCAAACUACCCCAUCCCCGACAAACAACAAGUGAACCAGAGAUCUCCCCCUGUCCCAAUGCACUAG